GCCGGCCCCGCGCGUUCGCAGGGCUGGAAGCCGGGCACGGUCGGGGACAAAGCGCGGCGGGCCCCGGCCAGGCUCCCCCCGGCCCUGCGCGGAGACAAAGGCAGCGCGGGGAGCCGCGUCCCCGUCCCCGGGAUUGCAUCAGAUGCCGCCUACCUUGCGAGGAGCCGCGGGGACCCCCCCGGCGUGCAGCGCAGUCUCUCCCGGCGGCGGCGGGCUGGAGCAGCCCGGCGGAGAAUCGUACGGAGAAUACGAUUAAAAACAAAAUAAAAAGAAUCGGGAGGAGGCGAGAGGCCGGAGGAAAUGAAAUUGGAGAAAGGAGGACGGCGAGGGAGAUGCCGCUCCUCCCGCCGCGGGUGUGUGCAUGUGGAGGUGGACGGGCGGCGGGAGCGCGCGGGGCGCGCCGCCAGGUGCCGGGGCCGCGGAGCCCCCCCGGGCCGCCCCUCGAAGCGGAGCUGCGCGCUGCCCCCCGGCCCCGCGCCCCCUCCCCGCCGGGCACGCACACACCACACACCGAGCCGUGCCUCUCCGGCACCGCCGCCGCCACCACCACGUUUCUGACUCUUUUUAUUUUUUAUUUAUUUUUUUUUUUUUUAACGACAAAAAUCGUUUUUCUUUAGGUUUGCUUUCUUUUAGCCCUGGGGUUCGCCCAAAGGUUCCUCGCCUCUUCUGGCAAGGAGGGCACAUUUUUUGUGGAGCUGUUCCCCGAAAUGGCCACGGAAGAUCUGGCAUCGUCAUUACCGAUUUCCUGUUUCGUUAUGCAAAAUGUAUAGAGUGGAAAUGCAGCAGUUGGUGCCAGAGGUCGAAGCGUUCUCAGCGGGGGAAAGACAUGGUUUUCAGACAUAAGAGGGGGAUUUACUGCACGGAUGAUUUAUUGUAACUUCUUGUUUCCAGAGUUAUCUCUAUAAAGUACUUUAGGAGCUUUCCAGCAUGGAAAAAUUCCACCAACUUUUAAGAACAAGCCCGAAGCAAGAUGGCUUUGUGGCUGACAAGAGAGACUGCAGGCCCUGGUUCCACUCUGCAGCACAUGGCCUGCACAGGAUGUCCCAGGGCAAAGGGGAGAAGGAUGCUGAGAGCACGCCUUGGUAAGCUAGGAGACCUCUCAGAGUUUCCUAAUUGUCAGGCCCAAAGGCAGACGUUGCACGUGAAAAACUGUGUUUUUCAGAUCUUUACAUGCACAAGUUUGGUUUCCUUUAUGAUGAUUACAGUGCCUUUUUGUUUUCACUACGGGAGCUCUUUGGAUGUGAAGCACACUGUGCUAGCGGUGGGUUAAUUCACCCCAUUGCACCCAACAAGGACGGGAGCUGAGCACCCUCCAGGUAAUGGGAAUUGAGCAGAAGGAGCUGCCCAAGGUCACUGAGCCAAGGGCUCCACCAACACUCCCUCAUGUGCAGGAACCUCUCCCAGUGCUCAUGUGUGGGGCCUCAUCAAAACUUCAGUCAAGGACAUGGGGUCACCUCCAAGGCAGGGGCUCGGCUCUGGGUCCAGCCCUGUGUGCAAGGCACCAGACCCUGCCAAAAUGCAGACCAGAAAGUACAUGCCACCCUCACUCAGUAAGAUGUAUUUCUAUCUGAAGUCCUCCAAUUAGUAAAUCAGAAUGUACAUUUUAUAGUGCAUGGGGUCAGGCAGUACUGGAGUAGGGAGCUGAUCGUCCUCAAGCACUGUGUUCAGUUUUAGGCCCCUCACUACAAGAAAGACAGUGAGGCCCCGGAGCACAUUCAGAGAAGGGCAGUGAUGCCGUGAAGGGUCUGGAGCACAAGUCUUAUGCAGAGUGGCCAUGGAACUGGGACUGUUCAGCCUGGAGGAGUCUCAGGGGAGACCUCAUCCCUUUCUGCAACGACCUGAAAGGAAGCUGUGGCAAGACCCACAGCCUCCGAAUGUUCUUCAGAUUAUAUUUCCGCUGCCUAAAAUGCAUCAGCAGCCAUGCUCAUUUCCAGAACGGCUCUCUGAAGUACAAUGUCCUUUCCAGAGCCUGGACAAUUCCCCUCUGAGCUGUCCUCCAGCACUUACUAACUUAAACUUAAUAGAAACCGCAGGCUCCCAGUGGCAGCUGUCAUCACAGCAACGAAGUGAUUAGAUCUGCUCUGUUGCCUAAUCACAGGACGAGAUGUGGCAUGCAUUCCUGCAAUCUGCUUAAGUACUCCCUAUCCGGAUCCUCUGAUUUCAAGGAUAGUCUUUGGGAAAUUAUCUUUAGAGUAAAUCAUUUUUUUUUUUUUAAGUGCACUUGAUUAAAGCGAGGCAUCUAUCAUAUCGCAGAAUUAUUGAUUAUGAUAAGCACUUUGAACUUACCCAGUGUUUUUCAUCUCAGAAUCUCCUAAUAUUUUGUUGCAAGUGGAAAGGAUUAUUAGUCCCACUGCAGAUUGAAAACUUGGAGGAAAACUGAGACUCUACAUGAUUCACUGAGGAUACUCUAUCACAUGGUGGAGCAGGACCAGUGAGCUCAUGGCUUUACUGUCCUUGAGGGGGUCUACAAGUGAGAGGCCUUUUGUUGCAUUUGUUUAGGAUGGAAACCAGAAGUCUUCCCUGCAGAUUUUGGGUUCAACACAGUUUCCAGUGUGAUUCUGCACCUGUUUUCUGCUCGAGAACCACUGCCUUCUGUACAGGAACCGGGAAAGGAACUAAGUAUUACAAGGGGGAAGGCAUUUAAAAAGACUGUAUACAUCUCACUCAUCACUCAUACUGAUGAUCUUACUUGACCAUCAGUAUAUGCUUCUGUUGAGAUAUGUCUACCUUCGUGUCAAGUUUUGGGGAUGGAAAGCUAAAUCUUCUCCCUAACCAGUGCCUGUCUUAAUGCCUUUCAGCAACUGUGUAUUUACCUACUUGAAGAUGUGCUGCAGAGCUGUGGGCCUGUAUCCAUCUUCUGCGCCUGUUCUGGUCUGGGACAUGUGGUGUGACCAGAAUUGGACAUCCAAUCCCUUCCUUGUCCCAGCACCUCUUCUUUUAAGUGAGGUUUGGCUGGAGGUGCUGCUCACAUAGCCACAUUCUGCGUACAUUCUCACAGCAGACAAGAUAACGGUUAUCACUGGAGCAUACACAGCUCCACACAUCAGUAGAGGCCCUUCACACCAGAAAAGGGAUUCAGUGGUUCCUACUGCUUUAUCUCAUCUGCACAUCCCUCCUACUUUUCCAUCUGUUUCACAUCCCGUAGUCAGGAGCUGAAGAAAGUAAGUAGCAUUCUAACAAAGUUGGAUCAGAAGAGAAAUGUGGUAAAAUUUAUAAGAUCCGUGUAGAUGGUUAAAAGUUGGUUCAAAAGAAGUUAUUUAAAAUUAUCCCCACACUUGGGGAAGCUGGAAAGGGUCACUUAUUUCCCCCCCACUCCAUGCAAUUUUUGGUCAAGUACCAGGAAGCCACAAAACUGAACAAAAAAUCCAGUGGUCAAAAGCAAAGGGCAGUGACUGCAACUGCACUGUCCUCUCCUCCUCUGGACUGGUGGGCCCUCCUGAUGGCUCGACAGAGAUCAGCCACGGUCCUCGCUGCUCUUCUCUGGAUCAAGGGAUCUUCCUGUGCUGAAACCCAAACCAGGACUUUAAAUAAAAGAAAAAUCGGGCUUUGGGGCGUGCCUACUACCUAUAGUAAGAAAAAACCAAACAAACAUAGCAGCAUGUGCUACAGAGAAACAAGGAACUAAAAGCAUGGCAUACCAGAACUUGUUUCACUUACGCAAUUCUGUUUGAAAACGUUCUGGCUUGAGCCAAGGGGUGAGUGAUAGCGAAUUGAUGGGAACCUCACCCUUCUGCUGGUAAAUAUUCAGCGAGAAGAGAGGUGGAGUCCAUAAACAAUCAAAAAAAGCUCUCCAAGAUUGCAGCAUUAUUAAAUUAUUACAGUCUGAGCAAUUUUUAAGCAGUGCAAACAUUUGCUUUCCAUUUCAUGGCUGGCUGUUGCUGACGACGUACGCGGUCUCUGUGGACACAAGAGCCCCCCCACUCUGUGUUUGCUUUUUGGUUUUCACGCAAGAGGAGGCUCAGCGCCCGCGUGUAGCAUUACAUGCACAAAGCUAUUUGCUUUUCUCUGACGUUCAGGUAGUUUUAAAUGGUAACUGUUGCUUUACAUUUAAUUUCUCAGGUAAGUUAAACAAACACGUGCCACUGACAACAAACACCGCUGCUCAUGGCUCAUUAAGUCGUGUUUCCGAAGCAGGUAAUCCUCUGCCUGAACACACAGCCGCAGUGGGGUUUAUGAGCUGUGCACUGUGAAGAGGAUGGGAGCACAACCAAAGGCCUCGGUCUUCAGGACUUCUGCAAGCAGCAAUACUUCGCCAAUUCAAUCUCCAGUUCAAAAAAUGUCUGUAUUAAAAUUCAUGGAUUUUCUCCCAUACCUUUUUCCUUCUAUUUCCCCCUUUCCCCUUUAUUAAGGGCCAGGGUCUGCCACAGUAAGGGUGAAGUGACAUUGUUCUUGUGGUGAAAGUGUUUGUUUUCUCCAAUGCCAGUGAUACAAAGGUAUUUAAUGCCUUGCACGUGGCAAAUGUUGAUACACUAACACUUGAACUAUUUAUAUCCUCAUCAUGCUGCUGCAGUAAAACUUGUCCUUUAGUUCGUAGUCCUGUGGCUUAUUUUGUGUUAGCAUACUGCCCUACAUGGCAGUAACACCGGAUGGUGCAUGCUGACAGUGUGCAAGCCAAGGUGUGUAGGCAGACAUAGCAUCAUGCAAUCACAGAAGCAUUGGAGUCCCAUAAAGCAAAGGACUCAUAAAUGUCAUCUAGUCCAACAGAGGGACACCUACCAAGUCAGGCUGCUCAGAGCCCUGUCCACCUUGACCUUGAAUGACUCCAGGGAUGAGGCAUCUACCACCUCCCUGGACAACCUGUUCUAGCACUUUGCUACCCUUAUUAUGCAAAACAAAUAUUUCUUAUUUCCAAUCUAAAUCUUCCCUCUAUAAGUGUUGCUUCCAAGAUAAGCGUCGCUUCCAAGUUUAAGGAAUAUCACCAAACAAGACCAAGUUUUGAGCUCCCAGUGCCAACUUCAAGUAUUACGUAGAAGCAAAAUUCCAAGCUCAGCAGAAGUGAGAGCAGCUGCUCGCAGCUGAGCAAGGCAUGAGUGAGUGAGUCUUCAUGAGGGAAGAGGUGGCACUGGGGCAGGGAAGUGCUGGGAGGUCUCCUGAUGCAUCAGCUGCGCAAUGGGAGUGUGGAAGGAGCAGACGUUGUAUUGUAAUGUGCACUGGAGUUCAGGUUCAUAGCAAACUUCAUUUGUUGCUUCAAUACCAGACCUGCAGAAAGGCUUCCGCUCCUUAAAACUUUCUUCUAUUUCCUUUUUUAAAAAAAUUAUUUCUUUCUUUUUGUAUUAUACUAUUUAAUCUACAGAAAGAUAUCAUUUCUACCUGCAAUUCUUGCCUCAUAAUGUUAUGUGUUUUUGUUGUUGUUGUUGUUUUUGCUGCCUCUUAACACACUUUAAAUACACAUUGAACGCAACUUACUUUGACCUGUGAUAACAUGAUCUAUUUUCUCAUUUCACAGUGUGUGAAGGGCACAGUAUACUCUUGUGGCAAAAUACUUUGAGGAAAGAAACAGAACUGGAUGACGAUUCUUGCAGAGCACUCCAGACUUGGGAAUAGACUUUUCUGAGAACAUCCCACAGCUGCUCUGCAGUUUUUCCAGCGUCCUUUUGAAGAUGUGUGGAACAAUUUCAGUGUUAGUUCUUCGACACAGACAUUGAAAACUCUUUAGUUGAGCUCUGUUUUCCACAUCAGUUUAGGUGUGUCCAGGGAGUUAGGAGAAGGCCUCAUGCCCUGAGCAUAUGCGCUGGCCUGUGACCACCAUCAUUCUUCUCAGUUGCAUUCUCUCCCAAGAACAUUUACCCUGCUUGUCACCGCCCUGUCCCAUGCCCAGCUCCUCAGAGGGGACUGGAGCAGGGCCUCCAGGCGACGUGGUGAGACCAGGCCUCAUGUCUGCUGCAGGGACUGCUGGGGCUGCAGCAAGUAGCUGCACUGCCAGCACAGUGUACCAAACAAGGUGAUCCUAUGAAACAUGCAGGAGCAGUAGUGCCUGCUCCCCAAGUGGUAUUUAUCUCAACACGAAGCAGAAUCCUGUCUGACCGCAAUCACCCCAGUCCUGUGACGCCUGAGCACUUGGGGAUACCCCCAGCACCUCACUUGCUUCUGCUCCACUGUUCUGCUGUGCUCUGAACUGUUUGCAGAGGGUUUAUAAGAAACAAGGGCCACAGGAGGAUUGUUGCCAACACUGUGCUUCCAUUCCAUGACUCGUAGUGAAUGUUUAUGCUUUUGUUAGUACCUAUCCAACAUGCAAUACCUAUUAGUUUAUGUUUUGCAAGUGGAAAACCUUACUUUUUUAAUACAUGUAAGUAAUAACUAAAAUAAAAAUGCCACUUAUUAUUUAAAUAACUUAUUCAAGCAUAGUUACUGAUGGCACCUAGUACAGCGAUUACCUGACAUUCCUCUUCCUGGACCAUAUUUCUGUUCUUUUAAACUUUACCUAACUUCAGCUGUUUGUCCUUGCAGUUUCAGUAUGAAAACAGACAUUUCAAGACACGACUGCUGUUUGCAGGUGGCCGGCUUGGUGCUUAGGGUUCUUCUUUCAAGAAUGAUGAUCACUGAAUACCUUUAUCUUACAUCUCUUAGGGUUAUGCUUUGGACACACAUAAAUAAACGCUGAAAUACAAAAUAAGAGCAUGCAGGACAUUAAAUUGCGUGCUCAGGUGCACGGCUGCUUCACAGCACUGUCUCCUCAAGUGUAGCCUGAUUAACACCUUCUCACAGGCCCGAAACACUGAGAAAACCAAUAACCGCUUACGUUUUUACAAAGCUGACUUUAAAAUGAGAACUGGAAAGAAACGAGGAAGUUCAUCACUCAUCAGAAUGGGCUUUAGUCACUGAGAAACACAUAAAUGCUGUGAAUGCACAUGAUAAAAAAUAACAAGUAGUCACUUGGUGGGGGUUGCAGCAAGAAGCUCUGUGUGACCGUGUAGCUAAAGCAAACUUAGCUGAGGAGUUUCCUAAUUUCAGGGUGCUCAGCUAUACAUCUUUAGUAGCCCUUUCAUAUAGCGCUUUGUUGUACACACAGCACAUCGCAUUACACCUUUGGCAUCUUUCUUUCAAACCUAAUUCUAGUCAGGAAAGAGGGAGACUCACAUGAAUUGAUGAGAAUUUCCAGAUAACAAAGAACUGAUGUAUCACACUUCUAUUUCAGCCAUUGGAUAUAAUUUAAUAUAAACAGAAGUCUCAGUUCUGGAAAUGUUUAGAGAAUCAUAGUAACUACCCUGGAGAUUUAGCUGCAGGCAAACAGCAGCCACUCAUUUAUUGCACUCAAAUGAGACCCAACAGAAUGUCUGUGGCUAUUGUUGCCCAUAAUGCAAGAAGUGACACAGAGGCUGCUGGCUGAAUUUAAUCCCCUUUUCUUUGGCAUUCAGACUUGCUCUGUAUACUUCAGGAGUUUCAUAAAUUGUAGAUUUCAGCGUAUGCAAUUCCAACCCCUUCCCCCCCACACACUUAGAAAGUGCUCACAGAUCUGUAAACCACGCAUGAAAUUUAAGAUGCGAUACCUGCUUUAUAGAAAAUCCUUCCAAUGUCUCCCCCCAAAACCAGGACAACAUCGCUUAGCAUUAUCUGUUUAUUUAAGUUCAGUUAAAACAAACAUACAAUGUUUCAUUGAAACUGUGUUGCACUCUGCCAACAGCUGUAGCUCCUCUGCUGGCCUCUAACAAUACAGUGGCUACUUACAUAUGUACAAGGAUGUACUGUAGGAUGCCUGAAGCUGACGGCCUAACUCAUCUGUUAGAGCCUAAGAGUUGUUAAGUUGCUGCAUUCAGGAAAUCGUAACAUCCACGGUAAAUUUCAGAAGCAAAACAUCCACAAACCUGAAUUAUGCUUUUUAUGGACCCAAGUGACAUUUGUGUUUAUUGCAACAUAUACAUUUGUAAUAAAUACAAUCUUAGCAUUUUCUUACACCUGUUGGUGUAACACAUUACUUCCAUUUUGGUAAGCAUUACAUUUUGUUGUAAAAGGACCUUUCCUUUGACAGCUGUUAUACAGAUGUACAACAUGAACAACUCAUUGAAAUGGUGUAAUUUUCAGUAAUGAGAGAGAAAUAUAUACAUAAAUCCAAACCCUGAAGCUACACUAUAUACAUUAUACUUACAGUAUAUACACACAUACAAUUUUAUGUACAUAUAAUAUCAUAAAUAUUGAAAAAUAGGUUUAGGCUUAAUGGAUUAAUGUUUUAUAAAUAACAUAUUACACUUAUGACUGAAAUAUCAUGGAAGACAGUAAUGUCUAACUGAGGUGACAGAACAGUGGUUUAAUACUGAAGCUGCUCUUUCAGGUCAUUUGUUAUGUAGGCAACUUUAGACAGACAGGUUUCCAAAAACAAACACAACCAAAAAAAAAAACCCAACCAACCAAAAACAUACAUUUGAAACCAACCCAGCUAAGUGGAACUCAACUGUUGCAGGUGGAGAGCCAGCCAUCAAGUAAUACAACGCUUAAUACAAAAUCCAGGAAUUGCUACAUUAAAAGAAUUAGGUGACAUGUGAUAACAGCAUUAUGAGGUGCCAUCACAAAGAUCUUUCUCCUCUCCAGCUGCAGAGAGGGACUGCGUAGUAACCUCCCAUUCUUUUCUCUCCUAAGGUUCCGAGAGAAAGAAGAUUAUUAUUUUCUUAAAAAGCUGGCAAGGGAAGUGCUUCAUCCCUUAUGUGCUACAAAUUGCUCAAAGGUAGAUAUUUUAAUCCUCUUCAGUUGUUCUAUGUUUGCAGAGGAAGAAGAAAAGCUGCCAGAGUAGAGAGGCAUGUGCUCAGCACUCCUGUAUAUCAGGUAUCAUGGGAUAGUUACCAUGGAUGUAAAGUACCUGAGGCAGAGAAGUACCUAAGGAGCUUUAUAGUCAGUGCUGACUUCAGGAUCGUUCAUCGCCAGUUGAGUACCACCAAACGAAUGAUACGAACAACACAAAAGAAAUCGAACUUCUCAUUACGGUUUACAUUACAGAUGUAGCAACCAGCACUUAUAGCCAUGCAGAAGUAUCAGUACAAAAUACCUGCAGUUUUUUUCAUGGAUUUUAAACGGCUGGGCAGAGCUUGAUGUUAUCUGCCAAACAAUGACUGUAAUCUAGAUUUGUUCCUGACCGAUUCUACAAGAGCAAAAAAAAAGUCUCAGGCACUGUAUUAUCAAUGGAUUACAGGGCCCUACUUGUUCCCUCCGAGAAAUGCUGAGUGGAACGUCGUAAAUCAGACUUUUACAACAUCAUGUUAGAUGAAGACAACUGACCACAUUGCCAUGAUUAUUUCAUUAGUAAUCUCUAUCUAGGCUUUUGUACCUAAUAUUGUGUUUGAGAACCUCUUGUAAGCCAAGUACGCUGUUACAUAAGUGUUAUUUCUCUUCACCCUGGGAUAAGAAUGAAAGAGUAAACAUGCACUAGAAACGAAACAGCUAUCACAACCAUACAGCAUCUGUUUCAUCAGCUAGCUAGCUAGGGCUCAUAAAAAGCUUACCUAUUUCUGAUGCAAACAAGUAUGAGAUGACUAUCCAGUCUAUGAGGUUAUCUUUAAUACUACGAUACACUAUAAA